rnacentral:snRNA from 1 species
GGAUGUGAGGGCGAUCUGGCUGUGACAUCUGUCACCCCACUGAUCACCAGGGUUGAUUCCGCUGAUCUGGCUGGCUAGGCAGUUGUCCCCUUCCUUCCUCACCACUCCAUGUACAUCCCUCCUGAAGCUGGGAGCUUGGUGGAAGAGGACUACGGCCUUUCCUGAAAAGAGACGGACUGGUUUUCGGUUGAGGGUAUAUGAGUAGCUGCGCUCCCCUGCUAGAACCUCCAAACAAGCUCUCAAGAAAAUCCCUGGUACCUGCUAAAAGCUACAAAUUAAGCAUCUGUCAUGCAAUAUAAUUCAAUUUCAGUUUAAUU